CCUACGGGUGGCUGCAGUGGGGAAUUUUGGACAAUGGGCGCAAGCCUGAUCCAGCCAUGCCGCGUGCGGGAAGAAGGCCUUCGGGUUGUAAACCGCUUUUAUUUGGGAAGAAGGAGUAGAGGCUAAUACCCUUUAUGACGGACGGUACCGGAUGAAUAAGCACCGGCUAACUACGUGCCAGCAGCCGCGGUAAUACGUCGGGUGCGAGCGUUAAUCGGAAUUACUGGGCGGUACGCGUGGUCAGGCGGUAAAGCCCCGGGCUUAACCUGGGAAUGGCGGUUGAAACUCUCGGACUAGAAUCUGGCAGAGGGGGGUGGAAUUCCACGUGUAGCAGUGAAAUGCGUAGAGAUGUGGAGGAACACCGAUGGCGAAGGCAGCCCCCUGGGCUGAGAUUGACGCUCAGGCACGAAAGCGUGGGGAGCAAACAGGAUUAGAUACCCUGGUAGUC
rnacentral:rRNA from 1 species